rnacentral:rRNA from 1 species
AUGGUUUUCCCAGGAAGGGGAAGGAUCCGUGUUGAUGCUGACAGUGUUCAGAGGAUCACUACAUGGCUCAAGAUGAUUGAGCAUAUGGCUGGAAGAACGGAUGACACAUUUUUUAUGGCCUGGCUUGCGGUUGCCUUCAGUACUUUUCUAGCACCAACCACGGCCUUGAAGCUCAGCCCAAAGUGUUAUGGACUUGUGCUAGAUCAUCAAAUGCUAAAGAAUACAAACAUCUGCCUCUUUGUAGCAGAACACAUUAACGAAGCUUUCCGGAACAUGGACCAGGAGAAGCAAACUGUUUGCUGCUGCUUGUAUCACUUGAUGAUACUAUACCUUGAUGCGCUCGUACAUGACAUCCCAGUAAGCAACUGCGCGAUAUGA